AAACAGGUAUCAGCUGAUCGUGUUAGCUCAUCCCGAUAGUAAAUCGUUAUGGGCCGAUAACUUCCACAUCAUAUUACUGUUGGAAUGGAAUGAAAGGAGGGGACCACUUGCUAAGGGUGUCGGUAUGCUUUUUGUUCCUUGCCAUUUGAUCUGUUAAAAAAUCAUCUCUGUUAAAAAAAAAUGAAUUACAGAAUAGUCAAUUUCAUUUUAUGUUCUGAAAAAAAUAAUUUUUUUGAAAUAAUUAAAAAUAAUUCAGAGACCUGAAGUUGUUGAUAGUGCCUAUAAGGGAGAGGAUUGACAUGUAACUUAAGCUCAGUGUGAUAUUUAUCAUUUUGCUGAUUUCCUUUUACAGAAAUUGCUUAUUGAUGUAAAGUUGCCAUACUCAAAUAAUAAAUAUCCUUCCAAGUUUUUUAAA